GAUGAACGCUGACAGAAUGCUUAACACAUGCAGUCACUGAUUGUGGCGGACGGGUGAGUAACGCGUACAGAACUUGCCUCACAGGUAGGGACAACAUUUGGAAACGAAUGCUAAUACCUAAUACUGUGAUAGAGCUUUGCGUCCCAUUAGCUAGUUGGAGAGGUAGCGGCUCACCAAGGCGCUGAUGGGUAGCCGGCCUGAGAGGGUGAACGGCCAAAAGGGGACUGAGACACGGCCCUUACGCCUACGGGGGGAAGGAGUGGGGAAUGUGGGACAAUGGACCAAAGUCUGAUCCAGCAAUUCUGUGUGAACGAUGAAGUUUUCGGAAUGUAAAGUGCUUUCAGUUGGGAAGCGGUACCAACAGAAGAAGUGACGGCUAAAUACGUGCCAGCAGCCGCGGUAAUUC
rnacentral:rRNA from 1 species